rnacentral:lncRNA from 1 species
CCUGGAUUUGAAUGUAUGUUUUUUUAAGGGGUUGUAUCUGCUGCUGGCCACGAUGGAAAUUGAAAACUACAACUGACACAUAAAGGUUACAUUAACGAAGAUAACUAACAAAGACCAAUGAACCAUGAAAAUGGGGUCAAGGUCAGAUGAACCACGCCAAGCUGACAUGUACAGCUAACGAUGCUUUCAUAAAACAAAUAUAGUUGACCUAAUACUUAUAGUUUAAUAAAAAUAUACCAAAAC